UAGAGACCAAUUAUUGUCAACAAUGGCUUCCUCUAUAGUUUCUUCAGCUGCUGUUGCCACCCGCGGCAAUGGUGCACAAGCUAGCAUGGUUGCACCCUUCACUGGACUCAAGUCCACUGCUUCUUUCCCUGUUUCAAGGAAGCAAAACCUUGACAUUACCUCCAUUGCUAGCAACGGUGGAAGAGUCAGUUGCAUGCAGGUUUGUGUGUGUAUAUAUAUAUAUGUACAACAAAAUUCAUUGACUAUAAUGCUAUACUCGAUUAGCUAAUUUAACUAUUUAUAAUUGUAUAGGUGUGGCCACCAAUUAACAUGAAGAAGUACGAGACUCUGUCGUACCUUCCUGAUUUGUCCGACGAGCAAUUGCUCAGCGAAAUUGAGUACCUAUUGAAAAAUGGAUGGGUUCCUUGCUUGGAAUUCGAGACUGAGGUUAACCUCUGUUUUUAAAAUUUAUAUAUUAGCUAGUGUGUUGAUAUGUUGUGUUAAUAGUGUUGUGGGAUAUCAUGUGCAGCACGGAUUUGUGUACCGUGAGAACCAUAAGUCACCAGGAUACUACGAUGGCAGAUACUGGACCAUGUGGAAGUUGCCCAUGUUUGGGUGCACUGAUGCAACCCAGGUCUUGGCUGAGGUGCAGGAGGCAAAGAAGGCUUACCCUCAGGCAUGGGUCCGUAUCAUCGGAUUCGACAAUGUUCGUCAAGUGCAGUGCAUCAGUUUCAUCGCUUACAAGCCCGAAGGAUACUAAAAUGCCAAUUUUUAAUUAUGUAAUGUAUAACUGACCCUAUGUAUUUAGGGGAAGCUUGUUUGAAUCCUCCUUAAAGUUUUUCUCUGGAGAAACUGUAGUAAUUUUACUUUGUUGUGUUCCCUUCAUCUUUUGAAUUAAUGGCAUUUGUUUUAAUACUAAUCUGCUUCUGAAACUUGUAAUGUAUGUAUAUCAGUUUCUUAUAAUUUAUCCAAGUAAUAUCUUCCAUUCUCUAUGCAAUUGCCUGCAUAAGCUCGACAAAAGAGUACAUCAACCCCUCCUCCUCUGGACUACUCUAGCUAAACUUGAAUUUCCCCUUAAGAUUAUGAAAUUGAUAUAUCCUUAACAAACGACUCCUUCUGUUGGAAAAUGUAGUACUUGUCUUUCUUCUUUUGGGUAUAUAUAGUUUAUAUACACCAUACUAUGUACAACAUCCAAGUAGAGUGAAAUGGAUACAUGUACAAGACUUAUUUGAUUGAUUGAUGACUUGAGUUGCCUUAGGAGUAACAAAUUCUUAGGUCAAUAAAUCGUUGAUUUGAAAUUAAUCUCUCUGUCUUAGACAGAUAGGAAUUAUGACUUCCAAUGGUCCAGAAAGCAAAGUUCGCACUGAGGGUAUACUUGGAAUUGAGACUUGCACAGGUCCAGAAACCAAAGUUCCCAUCGAGCUCUAAAAUCACAUCUUUGGAAUGAAAUUCAAUUAGAGAUAAGUUGCUUCAUAGCAUAGGUAAAAUGGAAGAUGUGAAGUAACCUGCAAUAAUCAGUGAAAUGACAUUAAUACACUAAAUACUUCAUAUGUAAUUAUCCUUUCCAGGUUAACAAUACUCUAUAAAGUAAGAAUUAUCAGAAAUGGGCUCAUCAAACUUUUGUACUAUGUAUUUCAUAUAAGGAAGUAUAACUAUACAUAAGUGUAUACACAACUUUAUUCCUAUUUUGUAAAGGUGGAGAGACUGUUUUCGAUGGAUCUAAAGCAAUAUGUCUAUAAAAUGCAUUGAUAUAAUAAUUAUCUGAGAAAAUCCAGAAUUGGCGUUGGAUUAUUUCAGCCAAAUAGAAGUUUGUACCAUACUUGUUGAUUCCUUCUAAGUUAAGGUGAAGUAUCAUUCAUAAACAGUUUUCCCCAAAGUACUACUCACCAAGUUUCCCUUUGUAGAAUUAACAGUUCAAAUAUAUGGCGCAGAAAUUACUCUAUGCCCAAAACCAAACGAGAAAGAAACAAAAUACAGGGGUUGCAGACUUUAUUUUCGUGUUAGGGUGUGUUUUUUCAUGUAAUUAAUCAAAAAAUAUUAUGACAAAAACAUUUAUACAUAUUUUUACUCAACACUCUGGGUAUCAGGGUGGGUUGUGUUCGACAAUCAAUAUGGAAAGGAAGUAUUUUCCUUAUUUUUUUAGUUAAUAUUUUCAGUUAUACCAAACAUACCUUGUGAUAUUAUUUUUAAAAAUGAAAAACUCGUCAGAAAGAAAAAGCAAAAGCAACAAAAAAAUUGCAAGUAUUUUUUAAAAAAGAAAAAAAAAACAUAUCUUGUUUGUCAGUAUGGGAAGUUUGAGAUAAGGACGAGUGAGGGGUUAAAAUUCAGUGGCCAUUGAUUUUGUAAUGCCAAGAACCACAAAAUCCAAUGGUUACCAUUCCUGUAAGAUGAGGUUUGCUAACUCUUUUUGUCCGUUAGAUAGGAAGCCUUAUCACUAUAUAUACAAGGCGUCCUAAUAACCUCUUAGUAACCAAUUAUUUCAGCAAUGGCUUCUUCAGUAAUGUCCUCAGCAGCUGUUGCCACCCGCGGCAAUGGUGCACAAGCUAGCAUGGUUGCACCCUUCACUGGACUCAAGUCCACCGCUUCUUUCCCUGUUUCAAGGAAGCAAAACCUUGACAUUACCUCCAUUGCUAGCAACGGUGGAAGAGUCAGUUGCAUGCAGGUUUGUGUGUGUAUAUAUAUAUACGUACAACAAAAUUCAUUGACUAUAAUGUUAUACUCGAUUAGCUAAUUUAACUAUUUAUAAUUGUAUAGGUGUGGCCACCAAUUAACAUGAAGAAGUACGAGACUCUGUCGUACCUUCCUGAUUUGUCCGACGAGCAAUUGCUCAGCGAAAUUGAGUACCUAUUGAAAAAUGGAUGGGUUCCUUGCUUGGAAUUCGAGACUGAGGUCAACAUCUAUCUCCUCUGUUUUUAAAAUUUACUAGCUAGUAUGUUGAUAUGUCGUGUUAACAGUGUUGUGGGAUAUCAUGUGCAGCACGGAUUUGUGUACCGUGAGAACCAUAAGUCACCAGGAUACUACGAUGGCAGAUACUGGACCAUGUGGAAGUUGCCCAUGUUCGGGUGCACUGAUGCAACCCAGGUCUUGGCUGAGGUGCAGGAGGCAAAGAAGGCUUACCCACAGGCAUGGGUCCGUAUCAUCGGAUUCGACAAUGUUCGUCAAGUGCAGUGCAUCAGUUUCAUCGCUUACAAGCCCGAAGGAUACUAAGUUCUAGAAAAACUAAUUGCCCUAUGUUUAUAGGGACAGUUUGUUUGAAUUCUCCUUUGGGUUUUCCCUUGAGAAAUUGUAUUCAUUUUCCCUUGUUUUCCAUCUUUUUAUUCCGUGUAUGAUUAAUUCGAAUUUCAAUCAAGUUUACAAGAACUAUAUUAAUGAUAUUUGUUUCUUUACUAAUCUCUUUCUGAAAAAUUGCUUAAUUUGUGGUUUAUUUAUAUAGCUAGUGAAGAAACCUUACCCAGAACACGAACCAGGUUCGUGUAGUAAAGAUACAAACACUUAUUGAAUUAAAAACCUUCCUCACUCAAGGAAGGAAAAACCUUGUUUUAUUAAUUCAACUAUAAGAUUUUGUGAUUACAACUCAAUAAUCAAAAGUCUUAUCUCUACUACUCCCUCGAUUGACUCCAAUCGAUCUCUCCAAAAGGCCAAACCCACCUUUUGUUACAACUCUUACUAAGACUCAACCCUACAAAGAGUCAAACCCACGUAGUAAUCCUAUCAACCUUGAAGACUUCAAUUUGAUGAAUAAUUCUCCCUUGUUCUCUGCGUGAAGUCGUCGUAUUCUUCAUACGCGUCUUUUUCUUCUUAUAGAGUUCCUUUUGCCUUCAGUCCUCAGAUAAGGUAAGGAAGUUAUUAUUAAACAAGGAUUCCCUUUUAAAGUACAAUCCUUAUUAUAUACAACUUCCUUCCUUAAUAAUAUAUUUAAGGUUUUCCUUAUUUGUAUCAACUUAUACCUUUAAUAUAUUAUUUUUGGCUUUGACAAAUAACUCUAUUUUCUUGAUUACUUGGCUAAUCCAUUUCAUUUUACUCGAUCUUGGCUUCUUUUGCUGCGUACAUUUGCUAUUGAUUAUUUGUGCUUCUUGUCUAUCAUCAAAACAUGAAUUAUCGAUUCUAUCAUAUUCUAUCAGCUAGCUAGCACCACAAACUUGGAUUUGGCUUUAGAUUACUUCACUCCAGCCAUACUCCAUGGCAAUGGCCUCAUUGUAUGCGCUGCUUAGAAAUAGACCAAUUUUAAUUUGUUGCUAUUGUAGUCAUAUUUUAAUUAUACGAUUAUUUACACGAGACAGUGCAGGGUUCGCAAAUUGAUUUCAUCUCUUAAAGUUUCUGUCUAUAGUUGGAAAGAAUAGCAGGACAUUUUUAGUACGUUUUUUAAAGAAGCAUAUCCAUUACUAUCCCACAGUUUGAGAGUGUUCAUCCUAACUUUCUUGUACUUUUCCCUGUUGAGGAUAUUUAUUUAAACUAUUAAUAAAAGACGAGUAGACAUCUAUCUAGUGGUAUAAAUUCUCAACAAAAAUAAUAAUAAAAAAUAGCAUGCAUUGGUUCCAAAGAAGUGUACAUUGGUAUAACUACUACAACAACAUAUUGUGUGAAAUCCCACGAGAGGAAAUUGAAAUUGAGUGGGAAACAAAUGUUUUUUGCAGAGAAUAUGAUGAAGCAUUAAAAAAAGAAACUGACAAAUUCUUCGCUGAAGCUAUUCUGUUGAAGUUGUUUAACCAUGAAAAGGUUAUGAAAUGCUUCUCUUAUUAGUUCGGUCCCAAGUCCAAAACUCUCUACAUGAUCACAGAGUCAUUCCCCUCAGGCAGCUUGAAAAAGUAUUGGUCAAAGUACGAUAAUGGCGUUGCUAUUGAUUUGGCGAGUAACAAAAAUUGGGGCAGGAAGAUUCUUGAAGAUUUGAAUUUUCUUCAUUGUCAGAGGCAGGCAGAGUCUGGAAGGUUUGAACUUUCUUCAUUGUCAGAGCCCUAAGAUCGUCCAUCGAGACAUCACGACAAUGUGUUCAUUCAGAGUGGUGGGAACUGGGAAGCGAGUUACGCUUGGAGAAUUUGGGUUGGCAGAAGAGAUUCACUUGUUAUGGUUCUUGAACUAUCACUAUACAUUUCAUAACACCUGCACAAUCAGCAUAGCUGAAUAUCAAUCAACAAUUGAGAAAGAAGGGAGUGACUUAAAUAUCACAUCAGGAUUGUGAUGUAACCCAGCCUACUAGUACUUUGAUUGUGGAAAUGACAUAAAUAAGCUUCAAACAAUAAUAUUUUCCACGACCUCCACCCCACCAUUAUCAAGGACGGUGAUGAGUUUUCAAUUGUGAGCAAUACCAAACUUUGCGAGCUCAUGAACAUGGUUUUAAUUCUCCAUCUCAUUGAUCUACUUCUAAUUCUACACAAUGAAAGCUAUUUACUCCAAAAAUAAAGCUUCUUUUUCCGCUUGUCAACCUACAUUUACAAUUCAAACUAUGCACUGAAAAGUACUAGUAAUGCAUAAUAGAUGCUAUUAAGUUUGAUUGCAAAAAAGACGUACAAUCAUCAAAUAAACAUGCCUAACAAUAAUGACAAUAUUUUCAACUUCCAAACUUAUGAUAAGAAGAUAAAUCAUAACCAUUAUGAACUGCAAAUUACUAUCAUUCAAACAAAUCCAUGAUAUUGUAGCGCAAAGAAGACACACAACAUGUCAAAUUGUUAGCUUUCUACUUUUUCCUGAUUGAUUAAUAUGGCCAUCCAUCGAUCUUUUAUAAGGGACACAAACUUAUUAGUGUUUCCUGUUGUGCAUUUUAUCCAACACAAAGAAGUUCGGCUAAUUGUAAUGUUCCUGCAAAAUCAGCCACACUUUAUUCAUUUGAGUCCCACUGGACAAAAGUCUGUCUGUAUUACAGAUUUUAAGUAUGUAUUAUAAAAGUCAACCAAUCAGCCUUUAAACUUGAACCCUACUUCAGAUCAAGCAAUCACCCAACCAGUUUCAAUAACAAUCUUAUCUAAGAAUUCAGUUCCAAGAACAAACUUAUCUGAAGAAUAAAUGUAAAAAUACUCGAUGCUAAAAGAAACUGAAGUUAACGUCAUCCUGUAUGUGGUAAUAUAUCGUAUAGAUACUGUUCUAAAAAAACCUGUUAUUUGAUGGGUGUUAGUUAAUAGAAAAAAAUUCGACUAACCAGAAUAUCAAGGAGCAUUUGAAUUGCCGCGUUGCUUUUCAAUUUCUUGCUUUUGUUUCUCAGCAAGUUUAUCCAAAGCAGCUUCCAGAGCAUCCCGACCUCCAAUAAGCAACCUGGUGAUGACCUCUGGAUCUCUCUCAAAUUGUGCCUCCUCGAACUCUUUUCGGACAUUUUCUCUAAGAACAUCCCGCCAGGGAAUGCCUUGAGAGUUGGCCCACAUGAAGAAGCGGGUUGCGCGGAUGACAUCUCGGUAGAGACUUAGAGCCUCGCGUCGACUGCUAGUGAGUCGUUGUCUAUUUAGGAGCUCGUUCUCGUCAUCAUCAAGGUUCUUCUCCUUUUUGACCACAUGUCUAUCCAAUAGUUCCUCCAUAGUGUCUGGACCAUGGUGCAGGAGGCAAUAGUGAUGCAAGAGCCAUCUUGACUUGAAACUAUGAUCCAAAGCAGUUGAAAGAUUUCGGAACUUUCGAAUAUUAGCAUUCAUCUGAAACCUCGACUUGACUGGUACAGAAAGAGAAACAAGACUUUAGAGAAAUCGUACUUCAUCAUAUACUUCACACGAGAAACGCAUGUAGAUCAACAUGAAGUGAAAAAUGGUCCAAGUUAAAAAUAAACUUGUUAAGAAGGUCAGUAACAUCCAAACAGAAAGUCUUGCUUUUCUUAAGAAUGCUAUCAAACACAAUAGCCAGAGAACAGAAGUGGUGCGCAUCUUCUGGUAUGAGAGAUACUACAACAGCAACAACAACAUACAACAUACCCGAGAAAUCUCACAAAGUGGGGGUAUGCCAGAUACUACAUGAUUGGAAUAUAUUCCAGCUGAUUCAAUACUUUCUACAGCAAUGCACGACAGGAAUAAAGAUGAACAAAAUCAAAAAAAAAAAAAGAACUUCUCUUUUUCCAUUUGGGCGCGUAAUGAAAGAGCUCCAUGUGGAAGAAUGGGAGAACCCACAUGCUUAUUCCAUUCAGUUUAAUCAGAAUUCAAGCAUAAUCAAUUUGGAAAAAGCAUAACCAAAACAGUAUAGAACAGAGAAAAUAGAUAAAUUAGAAGACAGCAACACUAUAAAAAGAACAAUUUACUCUUCACCGGAACUUCUCCUAACAAAAUGUAAUCAACAGGUACUGGCAACAUAACACAAAAAAAAUUUGACUACAACAUACACAAUUGAGUUCACACAAAAAAAAAAUUAAAAUCUGAAAGUAGCCCUAAUUACAGAAAAAAGAUUGAAGAUGUAACCUGUUGUAGGUAUCUGCAAAUUAGUGAGUGGAAAAGAGAGAAUGCACAACAAUACUUUGGGCAAUUAGCGUUGUAGGAACGGAAGAAGAAUUGGAAAAUAGUGUUUGGCAAUUGCGGGUCGAAAAAUGGGUUAAAAUGGCAAUUGCGGGUAGAGAAGAUGGGCCAUAAAUGGUUACAAAAUAGAUAUGGGCUCAACAUAUUUUCUGGGCAGCCAAUUUUAAAGGCAUUUUCCUUUGAGGAAAUAAUUUCUUUGGACUUCAGAAUAUGAGUUGAAAGUAAUAAUUCUAAUAAUGAAAUUAAACAAGGAUGAUUAAAUGGCAACAAAAUGGAGUAAUAUGGAUAAUCAACGCAACUAUAUAGAGAAAAAAUAAUAGCGCUACCAUAUACGAAAAAUAGUAAAAAAUUAUAAUAAUGAUUCAGAAUAAAUUAUUAAUAACUAAAAAGCGUAAAGAAAUAAAUUAGAGAAUAAGUGAUACAAAAUUGGAUGUUAAUGGAUACUUCUUAUAAUUGCUUAAAAGGAAUACAAGAUGGGAAAUAAUGUGUUAUUAUUAUUGAUGUAUAAAGAAUUUGUACAAUUUUUGUAUCAAUAAAGUUCCAAAAAUAAUCUUUAAAAAAUAAAAGUACCCUUUUAUGAACUUUUUAUCAAAUAAAUGAAAUCCAAUAUUAGCAAAACAUUGAUAUUAUUACUAAAUAUUUGUUAAAUUAAAAAAUAUGUCAUUUUAUUUUUUAACAGAUAUUUUUUAAAGUAAAUGUUAUAAAUUACGAAAAAGGGAUUAAUGAGUAUCAAAACAGCCUAAAUGGGAGGAGACAAUAACAGAAAUUUGCUGUAGUAAGGUGGCUUAAGUCAUCAUUUAAUUUGAUAUUAUAAAAAUUCUAAUUAGUUUAUAGUCUUUCUUUUCCUCUUUUGUUUGUCUUGUAUGCUAAAAAAGGUAUAUUAUAUCUAUAAAUUAUGUAGCAUAAUGACCACAUCUGGCAUCAUCUUUACACAAUUCACCUAAAUAUCUCAAGCGAAGUUUUGCCAAAACUGAAGAAAAGAUUUGAACAACCUAUCAAGUAACAAAAAUCCCAAACAAUAUAGUCAUCUAUAUUAAAUCUUUUCAAUUGAAGAAAUUGUCAAAGACACAUACCUCUAUGAGUUUUUUCAUCAAUUUUUUUUUCUUUUUUAAACUGUAUUUUUAAAAAAAUAUUGAAUAAAACAUGUCCUAUUCAUUAGUUUGGGAACUUUAAGAUAAGGAGUGUGUAAUUUCAGAGGCUAUUAAUUUUGAAAUGUCAAGAGCCACAUAAUCCAAUGGUUAUGGUUGCUCUUAGAUGAGGUUAUUGCUUUAGGUGAAACCUUAUCAUCAUUAUAUAUACAAGGGGAUACUAGAGACCAAUUAUUGUCAACAAUGGCUUCCUCUAUAGUUUCUUCAGCUGCUGUUGCCACCCGCGGCAAUGGUGCACAAGCUAGCAUGGUUGCACCCUUCACUGGACUCAAGUCCACUGCUUCUUUCCCUGUUUCAAGGAAGCAAAACCUUGACAUUACCUCCAUUGCUAGCAACGGUGGAAGAGUCAGUUGCAUGCAGGUUUGUGUGUGUAUAUAUAUAUAUGUACAACAAAAUUCAUUGACUAUAAUGCUAUACUCGAUUAGCUAAUUUAACUAUUUAUAAUUGUAUAGGUGUGGCCACCAAUUAACAUGAAGAAGUACGAGACUCUGUCGUACCUUCCUGAUUUGUCCGACGAGCAAUUGCUCAGCGAAAUUGAGUACCUAUUGAAAAAUGGAUGGGUUCCUUGCUUGGAAUUCGAGACUGAGGUUAACCUCUGUUUUUAAAAUUUAUAUAUUAGCUAGUGUGUUGAUAUGUUGUGUUAAUAGUGUUGUGGGAUAUCAUGUGCAGCACGGAUUUGUGUACCGUGAGAACCAUAAGUCACCAGGAUACUACGAUGGCAGAUACUGGACCAUGUGGAAGUUGCCCAUGUUUGGGUGCACUGAUGCAACCCAGGUCUUGGCUGAGGUGCAGGAGGCAAAGAAGGCUUACCCUCAGGCAUGGGUCCGUAUCAUCGGAUUCGACAAUGUUCGUCAAGUGCAGUGCAUCAGUUUCAUCGCUUACAAGCCCGAAGGAUACUAAAAUGCCAAUUUUUAAUUAUGUAAUGUAUAACUGACCCUAUGUAUUUAGGGGAAGCUUGUUUGAAUCCUCCUUAAAGUUUUUCUCUGGAGAAACUGUAGUAAUUUUACUUUGUUGUGUUCCCUUCAUCUUUUGAAUUAAUGGCAUUUGUUUUAAUACUAAUCUGCUUCUGAAACUUGUAAUGUAUGUAUAUCAGUUUCUUAUAAUUUAUCCAAGUAAUAUCUUCCAUUCUCUAUGCAAUUGCCUGCAUAAGCUCGACAAAAGAGUACAUCAACCCCUCCUCCUCUGGACUACUCUAGCUAAACUUGAAUUUCCCCUUAAGAUUAUGAAAUUGAUA
rnacentral:lncRNA from 1 species